UUAAGCGACUAAGCGUACACGGUGGAUGCCCUGGCAGUCAGAGGCGAUGAAGGACGUGCUAAUCUGCGAUAAGCGUCGGUGAGGUGAUAUGAACCGUUAUAACCGGCGAUUUCCGAAUGGGGAAACCCAGUGUGUUUCGACACACUAUCAUUAACUGAAUCCAUAGGUUAAUGAGGCGAACCGGGGGAACUGAAACAUCUAAGUACCCCGAGGAAAAGAAAUCAACCGAGAUUCCCCCAGUAGCGGCGAGCGAACGGGGAGGAGCCCAGAGCCUGAAUCAGUGUGUGUGUUAGUGGAAGCGUCUGGAAAGGCGUGCGAUACAGGGUGACAGCCCCGUACACAAAAAUGCACAUAUUGUGAGCUCGAUGAGUAGGGCGGGACACGUGGUAUCCUGUCUGAAUAUGGGGGGACCAUCCUCCAAGGCUAAAUACUCCUGACUGACCGAUAGUGAACCAGUACCGUGAGGGAAAGGCGAAAAGAACCCCGGCGAGGGGAGUGAAAAAGAACCUGAAACCGUGUACGUACAAGCAGUGGGAGCCUCUUAAUGGGGUGACUGCGUACCUUUUGUAUAAUGGGUCAGCGACUUAUAUUCUGUAGCAAGGUUAACCGAAUAGGGGAGCCGAAGGGAAACCGAGUCUUAACUGGGCGUUAAGUUGCAGGGUAUAGACCCGAAACCCGGUGAUCUAGCCAUGGGCAGGUUGAAGGUUGGGUAACACUAACUGGAGGACCGAACCGACUAAUGUUGAAAAAUUAGCGGAUGACUUGUGGCUGGGGGUGAAAGGCCAAUCAAACCGGGAGAUAGCUGGUUCUCCCCGAAAGCUAUUUAGGUAGCGCCUCGUGAAUUCAUCUCCGGGGGUAGAGCACUGUUUCGGCAAGGGGGUCAUCCCGACUUACCAACCCGAUGCAAACUGCGAAUACCGGAGAAUGUUAUCACGGGAGACACACGGCGGGUGCUAACGUCCGUCGUGAAGAGGGAAACAACCCAGACCGCCAGCUAAGGUCCCAAAGUCAUGGUUAAGUGGGAAACGAUGUGGGAAGGCCCAGACAGCCAGGAUGUUGGCUUAGAAGCAGCCAUCAUUUAAAGAAAGCGUAAUAGCUCACUGGUCGAGUCGGCCUGCGCGGAAGAUGUAACGGGGCUAAACCAUGCACCGAAGCUGCGGCAGCGACACUAUGUGUUGUUGGGUAGGGGAGCGUUCUGUAAGCCUGUGAAGGUGGCCUGUGAGGGUUGCUGGAGGUAUCAGAAGUGCGAAUGCUGACAUAAGUAACGAUAAAGCGGGUGAAAAGCCCGCUCGCCGGAAGACCAAGGGUUCCUGUCCAACGUUAAUCGGGGCAGGGUGAGUCGACCCCUAAGGCGAGGCCGAAAGGCGUAGUCGAUGGGAAACAGGUUAAUAUUCCUGUACUUGGUGUUACUGCGAAGGGGGGACGGAGAAGGCUAUGUUGGCCGGGCGACGGUUGUCCCGGUUUAAGCGUGUAGGCUGGUUUUCCAGGCAAAUCCGGAAAACCAAGGCUGAGGCGUGAUGACGAAGCACUACGGUGCUGAAGCGACAAAUGCCCUGCUUCCAGGAAAAGCCUCUAAGCAUCAGGUAACAUCAAAUCGUACCCCAAACCGACACAGGUGGUCAGGUAGAGAAUACCAAGGCGCUUGAGAGAACUCGGGUGAAGGAACUAGGCAAAAUGGUGCCGUAACUUCGGGAGAAGGCACGCUGAUAUGUAGGUGAAGCGACUUGCUCGUGGAGCUGAAAUCAGUCGAAGAUACCAGCUGGCUGCAACUGUUUAUUAAAAACACAGCACUGUGCAAACACGAAAGUGGACGUAUACGGUGUGACGCCUGCCCGGUGCCGGAAGGUUAAUUGAUGGGGUUAGCGGUAACGCGAAGCUCUUGAUCGAAGCCCCGGUAAACGGCGGCCGUAACUAUAACGGUCCUAAGGUAGCGAAAUUCCUUGUCGGGUAAGUUCCGACCUGCACGAAUGGCGUAAUGAUGGCCAGGCUGUCUCCACCCGAGACUCAGUGAAAUUGAACUCGCUGUGAAGAUGCAGUGUACCCGCGGCAAGACGGAAAGACCCCGUGAACCUUUACUAUAGCUUGACACUGAACAUUGAGCCUUGAUGUGUAGGAUAGGUGGGAGGCUUUGAAGUGUGGACGCCAGUCUGCAUGGAGCCGACCUUGAAAUACCACCCUUUAAUGUUUGAUGUUCUAACGUUGGCCCGUAAUCCGGGUUGCGGACAGUGUCUGGUGGGUAGUUUGACUGGGGCGGUCUCCUCCUAAAGAGUAACGGAGGAGCACGAAGGUUGGCUAAUCCUGGUCGGACAUCAGGAGGUUAGUGCAAUGGCAUAAGCCAGCUUGACUGCGAGCGUGACGGCGCGAGCAGGUGCGAAAGCAGGUCAUAGUGAUCCGGUGGUUCUGAAUGGAAGGGCCAUCGCUCAACGGAUAAAAGGUACUCCGGGGAUAACAGGCUGAUACCGCCCAAGAGUUCAUAUCGACGGCGGUGUUUGGCACCUCGAUGUCGGCUCAUC
rnacentral:rRNA from 1 species